rnacentral:snRNA from 1 species
AUUGCUUCUCGGCCUUUUGGCUAAGAUCAAGUGAAGAAUUAAAAUAUCUUUCAAUUUUCUGAUAGACAAGCUUCUAAUAAGCACCUUAUAUUUAUGCUCCAGUUGGGUGUAUCAUAAAGACCACAC